rnacentral:sRNA from 1 species
AACUAGCCCCGAUGGAAACGGCAUCCUUUUUUGUUUUCUUGAUUCUCGCUUCAAUCAAAUGGCAAACGUUGUGAAAACAAAAAAGAUAUAGUGGACAGCGGGAUUAAGC